ACGAGCACAAACACAGUGAGUAGGAUGCUGCCAACGCCGCACUUCGAACUGCUGGGCAAACGAAGAACAUGGGUGACACCGUAUCAAGAGGUGCAGAUGUCAAGGUCCACACCUGAAUCAAAUGACGCACCUAAAGAAUGAACACGGUGAGAAUUCUUUUUUAGAAGACUUAAAACAUUGAACCCUUGCCGAAAGGUAAAAUCGGUAGUUAUCCGUAUUUAUCCUUUCUGCAUUCCCUUUUUCCUUAAAUUAUUUACUUUCCUUAAAUAGCUUGUUAGUUAAUCGUACUAUCUUGAAAAGAAAUUUAAAAUGUUAAAAACAGUAAGCCCCAUGUGAGUAUGCUCGUGGCAUAAAACCCAUAAGUACAUUCACUGUGGUGGCGUAAAAAUAAAAAUAUUCCUGUCCUAUAAAAAUUUAAAUAUAAAAAUAAAAUUAUGAUCCUACCAAAGAGAGUAAUAAUUAUUAGAGGAAGCUCAACAUGAUAACGGCUAAGAGAUUUUAUGCUAACACUUAACCAGUUCCACAAAGCUUUGUUGUCUAUUUGAGCUCUACAGAAUUCAAGGAUCAAAGAAGACUAGUAGACGGAGGACAUCCUAAUCGCUGUCAGGGUGCUGCCGACAUUCAAAUACACCUCCGCCACCUGCUAGCAACAUCAGAAGAAAUUAUGUCAAAAUCUAGCUUGGGGGAGAGCACCCCCAUUUAUCCAGCUAAGUGUUUCUACUUGCGUUUAUACUUUACUCAAAUAAUAAAAAGAUGCAUAAUCAUAAAAACCCAAAUAAUGAUUUUGUGCUUAUAUAUAUAUCUUUGCUUAGUUUGCUAAAUAAAUAAAUAAAGUUUGCUAUGAACCCUCAUGAUAAGCUCUCACAUGGAAAUGAUGAAUAGUUGCUCUGCCAUGACUAGUUCUCAAAAUUGAAAUCUUUUUCAAGUUUAGACAUAACUGUUGUAAUUUAAAGAUUGCUCUAAACUUGAACUUGUGGGAAGAGAACUUGAUCUAAAGUCUAAGUCGUUAAUGGAUACGAUAUGGGAAGGUUGAGCUGUUGUUUAGCUGUUCCUAGAGAUGCUAGAAUUCUGGAGAAUUUUAUCUUUGAAAAUAUUUAAAAUGUUGCAUGACGAGUUCCUGUAUGAUGAGAGUUUAAAAUCCUACCACAACCAUAUAUACAUGCUUAUUAGACUAUGAACCAUACAUUUACUUUUUACUGCUUGUGAGCAUUGAGUGUGGUCAAGCUAUGUAGACCCUUCGGAGCUUGUCAUGCGGUUAAAAUCAAGAUUCACUGGCACGUUCACUCAUACAAGCUGCUUUUACUCCGAAAGUACGCAUCCACAUACAUCCACUCAUUUCCAUCUCCAGAUUCACCCAAAAUUAUUCUACUCCUAUCCUAGACAGAAUAGCCAAAAACAUUAUCCCAUUCCUGUUUUCCCCUGUGAAAUAAAUGCUCGAGGUAUUUUGGUUACUACCACUUGCUACAUUAUUCUAGGAGAGUGAGUGCUCAAAAAAAGAGAAGAAAAAGGAAAAAUACGAGGAAAUAAAAAGGGGCAAGUGCCCAGAACCUCGAAGAAAAGAAAAAGUGAGACGAGAGGUAAAAAUGGGCAAGUGUCCGACAGUAGAAUUAGGGGUACAAGAUACCCACCUGAGAGGAAAGAAAAAGAAAAUAUAGAGCAUCUCAUUCUCCUCAAAAAGCUUCAAAGUGCAAGAAAGGUAUGUAUCCCCUUAAAAGAGCAAAAGUAGAAUUAGAUUUUCACCAUUGUUAUCACCAUCAUCACCAUACACCAUUCACUCGCCACACAUGCACAUCUUGAUUUGACUUAUUGACUUGUUCUUCUGGAUCCAUGGUUUGACUAUGCAAUAAAUGUGUUGUAAGAAUGUAUACUCUAUCUCCCACCUAUGAGCUCCAGAUAUCAAAACCUUAUUAGAGUAGGGUGAGAGAGAAGGCAAUGUCACUAUGCCUCAUACCAAAAACACCACAUACUUUGAGAGAAGGCAUAUACCAUUACUGCCUUGGUAAGGAUCCAGAAAUACCACAAAAGAGAGAUUUGAGAGAGUCAGACAAGGAAUCUCUGAGUUUUAUUUGAAAAUCUGCAAAACCUCCAGAGCUAUAGCUGAUCAAGAACAAGAGACAUGACGCUUGACUAGACUUUUCUAUCUUUUAACUGCUCAAGACACAAGUGACGGUUGCAAGCCCCAUGGUGAAAGGUAAAAUGAGUAAGUUUUAAGUCUUAACAGUUUACUCUAACUCAGAGAUGAGAUCUUGCUUGAACGCAUGUGUACCGUAAACUUUUAAAGGCAUUACAACAACUUCUGAUCCAUCAGUGAGUCUAUCGUUAGCUCAGGGACGAGCAAGAGGUAAGCUUGGGGGAGUUUGUUGACGGUCCUUAAAUACCAAAUAUAAUCAUCAAAUAAAUAAAGAAAAGGAUCCAAAUGCAACCAACACCCAGACUUAGGGUUUUAUUUGACAGAAUUCCAUGAGUUUUGGUGUUUGUCUAUUUCUGUAGGGGGUUAUCUGGAAAUAUGGAGGAAAGACCCACACAUCGGGUUCACAUAGAGAUAUUAACGUAUGCGCCAAUUUUCUAUCAUCUAGAAGAGUCCAGAAGCCACGGGAAUGAACGGGAGGCCGAGUGGGCCUAGGGACAGGGCGCCCGCCCUCCCCCCUUGGGCGCCCGCCCAGGUGUCUCGGCCAAUCAGGCCCCGCCUCAAGGAUCAUGCUCCAACAAUCUAAAGGAUUAAAGAAAACCAUGCGAUUAAGGUCAGUUUGAUCCGACGGUCCACGUUCAUUUGGAAGGGCUAUAUAAGCAAGCCUCCUGGC
rnacentral:lncRNA from 1 species